UGGGGAAUCUUGCACAAUGGGCGCAAGCCUGAUGCAGCCAUGCCGCGUGUAUGAAGAAGGCCUUCGGGUUGUAAAGUACUUUCAGCGGGGAUGAAGGGAGUAAAGUUAAUACCUUUGCUCAUUGACGUUACCCGCAGAAGAAGCACCGGCUAACUCCGUGCCAGCAGCCGCGGUAAUACGGAGGGUGCAAGCGUUAAUCGGAAUUACUGGGCGUAAAGCGCACGCAGGCGGUUUGUUAAGUCAGAUGUGAAAUCCCCGGGCUCAACCUGGGAACUGCAUCUGAUACUGGCAAGCUUGAGUCUCGUAGAGGGGGGUAGAAUUCCAGGUGUAGCGGUGAAAUGCGUAGAGAUCUGGAGGAAUACCGGUGGCGAAGGCGGCCCCCUGGACGAAGACUGACGCUCAGGUGCGAAAGCGUGGGGAGCAAACA
rnacentral:rRNA from 1 species